GAAAUGCGAUAAGUAAUGUGAAUUGCAGAAUUCAGUGAAUCAUCGAAUCUUUGAACGCACCUUGCGCUCCUUGGUAUUCCUUGGAGCAUGCCUGUUUGAGUAUCAUGAAAUCUUCAAAGUAAAUCUUUUGUUAACUCAAUGGGUUUCUACUUUGGUAUUGGAGGUCUUUGCAGCUUCACACCUGCUCCUCUUUGUUCAUUAGCUGGAUCUCAGUGUUAUGCUUGGUUCCACUCGGCGUGAUAAGUUAUCUAUCGCUGAGGACACUGUAAAAGGUGGCCAAGGUAAAUGCAGAUGAACCGCUUCGAAUAGUCCAUUGACUUGGACAAUACUUUUAUGAUCUGAUCUCAAAUCAGGUAGGACUACCCGCUGAACUUAAGC
rnacentral:misc_RNA from 1 species